rnacentral:rRNA from 1 species
UACGUAGGGGGCAAGCGUUGUCCGGAUUUCUUGGGCGUAAAGAGCGUGUAGGCGGCCAGACAAGUCUGCUGUGAAAACUCGAGGCUCAACCUCGAGCUGUCGGUGGAAACUGUCUGGCUAGAGUCCGGAAGAGGAGAGUGGAAUUCCUGGCGUAGCGGUGAAAUGCGCAGAUAUCAGGAAGAACACCUAUGGCGAAGGCAGCUCUCUGGGACGGUACUGACGCUGAGACGCGAAAGCGUGGGGAGCGAACAGG